ensembl:lncRNA
UGAGAUUCUAUCUCAAAACAAGAAAUAAAAGUAGGUUUAUCUAUCAGUUAGCAUUGUCAAUUUAACACAGCUUAGCCGUCUGAAAAGAGAUUCUUUUUCACUUGAGGGAUUGUCUAGGUUAGAUUGGCCUGUGGAGGAUUGUCUCGAUUGUUAAUGGGUGCAGGAGAGCCUGGCCCACUAUGGGCAGCAACAUUCCCUAGGCAGGUGGUCUGGGUUGUAUAGGAAAACUAAGCACAAACCUGUAUCUUACCAGGGAUUGCUCACUAGCCAGUCUAGCCGACAUAGUGAGUCCUAGAAUCAGUCAGAGACUGUCUCAAAAAAAUACAGCGAAGAGAAAAAGAGUAAAAGAACCAUAUUGACCUGUGGCUCACACACACACACACACACACACACACACACACACACACACACACUUAACUAUAGCAUGUUGGUCAAAGGGAUCAGAAAACUAAAUGAAGAGAUAAUCACAGCGGUAAGGAUGUCUUUGAGGUUCUCUAUUGGAACAUAAUCAUUUGGUGGCUUUCUGACUUCACAUUCCAUUCCCUCACAUGCUGUUCUAGUUUCCUUCCUGUUGCUGAGCAAGCAGCAUCGGGGAGGGAAGGGAUUACAUGGCUCACGCUUCAGGUCACAGUCCAUCACUGAGGGAUGUCAGGGAGUAUGGAGCAGAAACCAUGGAAGAAGGCUACUUGCUUUCCUCACUCCUGUGUCCUAGCAUCUAGACCCAACUGUCCUUCCCAUCCAUCCCCAGUCUGUACAGUCCGGCUCAGCACUCUAGUAUCUCUAGGAGUUGCCAGCUGAAGAGAAAAACCACAAAAUGGUUUGCCCUGAAGCCUUUUCUGAUGUGUGGUCAAGAGUGCGCUGCAGCCUUUCUCCGCCCCUACUACCCUCCCCAUCCCCUGAAUAAACUCUAUUCUAUACUAAG